GGGGUUCGAAUGGUGUUUUGGUGCAGCCAUGUUAAAACGGCUUCUAGUUUGGGAGAGAAGAUUGGACCCGAGCAUGUGCACUUGGAUUUGGAUAAAGGAUCGAAAGUCGGGAACGAACCCGAAUGAGGGCAAGCACUCCAAUUCCAGUGUGCAGGUUUCGAGCAUGUGGUCGGGAGGCGUACAGGGGAGGCACAUGACCCGGCUUGGCGCAUUUCUCUUUAGCUUUAUCAAGAGAUGGUUUUGGUCCCUUAUCGGAUUUUGAAGUAACCUACCUAUUUACUUCUUAUUUAAUUGUUUGUUUUCUACUCCCUUAUUUACAAAACUUUGGGAGACCCGUAACCCUGGGGCGCGUCUCUCAUACUUGCAUUUACUUAGUGAUUUGUUAUUUUCCAAAUUGGGCUCCUAUUAUAAGCCCAAAUCCUUUAGCCCACUUUGAAUUCCGCAAUUGAAAAUCUGUUGUUAGGUUGCUAGAAUGAUUUGUCCAAGAAAGUGUUUUGUGAACCAACAGUCCAAACCCAAAAGGCCUUGCGUUUUCGGGUUAAUGAGUUAUCGGGAUGCCAUUCGUGACAUGUCGGUUUCUCACUGGCUCGGAAUCGCGGCGCUGUGGGACUCCCCUCUCGGGUCACCACAGUAAAGUGGUAUCAGAGCCCUAGGUUCCGAAGUACUUUUGAAAUUGUUUUUACAAAUCUAGCAACUCUUUUCAAAGGUUUCAAGUGUCGAAUUUGGUUAAGCAAAACGCUUGGUUUUCUUGGGCAAA